rnacentral:rRNA from 1 species
GAUGAACGCUGGCGGCGUGCCUAAUACAUGCAAGUCGAGCGAACAGACGAGGAGCUUGCUCCUCUGACGUUAGCGGCGGACGGGUGAGUAACACGUGGAUAACCUACCUAUAAGACUGGGAUAACUUCGGGAAACCGGAGCUAAUACCGGAUAAUAUAUUGAACCGCAUGGUUCAAUAGUGAAAGACGGUUUUGCUGUCACUUAUAGAUUGAUCCGCGCCGCAUUAGCUAGUUGGUAAGGUAACGGCUUACCAAGGCAACGAUGCGUAGCCGACCUGAGAGGGUGAUCGGCCACACGGGAACUGAGACACGGUCCAGACUCCUACGGGAGGCAGCAGUAGGGAAUCUUACGCAAUGGGCGAAAGCCUGACGGAGCAACGCCGCGUGAGUGAUGAAGGUCUUCGGAUCGUAAAACUCUGUUAUUAGGGAAGAACAAAUGUGUAAGUAACUAUGCACGUCUUGACGGUACCUAAUCAGAAAGCCACGGCUAACUACGUG